UGGAGACGUCUACAAGCACACCUCUACGAAGCAGCACGAGAGAAGGGACCUCAACACUGAGAAUAAAACCUGACUACAAAGAUCUGCAAAUGGCAGACCCAGAGACACCCCGGUCAGACAAGUCCUCAGGCAAGUCCAAGAGCUCCAGCUCGAAAGUAAGCAAAAUGGGCAACGACCAGAGCACCACCCAAGCUUCUGGGGACACCCAGCCUGAAGACCUGAAAACACAGCCUGGAGAGGAGAGCCAAGAGGGAAUCAGCCUUGGAACGCCUGUGACCAAUGAAGAAGUGGAUACGUAUACCAUAGGCCUGGUAUAAACAUCAUUGUGUUUCCCUGUAGAAGAAGUCCUGUCAACUGGAAAUAAAAUAGCUUGUCAGAUACAAUGCACUACCGUCAGACUUACAAAUGAUGGGAUCACAUUACACUCUGUCUCCAUUUCAGCUUAUUUAAACAC
ensembl:lncRNA